UACGUAGGGUGCAAGCGUUAAUCGGAAUUACUGGGCGUAAAGCGUGCGCAGGCGGUGAUGUAAGACAGUUGUGAAAUCCCCGGGCUCAACCUGGGAACUGCAUCUGUGACUGCAUCGCUGGAGUACGGUAGAGGGGGAUGGAAUUCCGCGUGUAGCAGUGAAAUGCGUAGAUAUGCGGAGGAACACCGGUGGCGAAGGCGGCUAUCUGGCCAUGUACUGACGCUGAGACACGAAAGCGUGGGGAGCAAACAGG
rnacentral:rRNA from 1 species